rnacentral:rRNA from 1 species
AACUUUUAACAACGGAUCUCUUGGCUCUGGCAUCGAUGAAGAACGCAGCGAAAUGCGAUAAGUAAUGUGAAUUGCAGAAUUCAGUGAAUCAUCGAAUCUUUGAACGCACAUUGCGCCCGUCAGCAUUCUGGCGGGCAUGCCUGUUCGAGCGUCAUUU